rnacentral:lncRNA from 1 species
CUAGUUUGGUGAUAAACAAGAGUCAUACGAGCUCACUUGGGUAAUGCAUGCCAAGUGUUUGUCAAAAUAUCUCAAAGUAGCUUGCUGGCUAUUUUUUGAACUUUUGAAAUGUUUCUUUUCGCAUCUGAGUUGGAGCUUUUGAGACAUGAAAAUGGACUUCUCAAUGGUUAUGUUGGAAUUGGUUUUGCGUCACUUGAAGCAAAAAUGAAUUUUCAAUGGAAUUUCAAAGUAAGGGUUAAGCUGCUGGAGCUGUGCAGUUCCUGCUGUAUGGGCUGUUUCAGGAAUCUGUUUGACAUGCUUUCCUAGCUCUAAAUUCAAUGAAAUUUUGGGAAAAUGAAGCUUGAUAUGUCUAGUUCUCGAAUCUGGAAAGUUUGGGAGUUGUUGGUUGUAAACUUGAUUUCUAGUGAUUUUCUAAAUGUGGGAGGUUUCAGCUAGAAUGGUUGAAAAACUUGUGUAUAAGUUUUUCUUGGCAUGUUGCUUUUGUUUGAGAAUUUAGCAUGUCCUUUCUCUUGGAAUUGAGUGCUGAUCUGGGCAUUGCUAGAGCAUGAUCUUGAGUAAUAUUGUCGUGAGAGCAUGAUAUUGUAUGGCUUCGUCGCAAGGGCAUGAGAUAUUCAAUUUGCUUGAAAUGCCUGAGUUGCUUGGAAUGCUUGAAUGAAAUGAAAUUUCUUGGCAUGUGGAUUGGUAUUACGCCCUGUGAAUUUGUCAAAUGCUUGACAAAUGAGUUUGUUGAAUUGUUGCAAGGAUAAAUUGAGCUUUGGGGGGUUAAAGAGCAUAUACACUGGCAUGAUGUUUGAAAUAAGGAAAGGGCUAAGAAGAUUUGAAAUAAGGCAAGUGCCAGAAAUUCUUUGCUUGUAGAGUAGGAGCUGGAAGAAUUUAACUUGGCUUAGAAUGAUAUAGCUUGGACUUGCUAUGAGGAUGUGAAUAAUGUUCACACAGCUCUUGGAACUGAGGUAUAGCUUGGUUUAACAUGAGAAACUCUGAGAUGCCUAUGCUUGACUCUUUUUUUUUUUUUUUUACAAAUUUGCUUGGCAUGAAGCCCCCAAGUAUUUUGGAGUUUGCAUGUGUAGUUAGCUUAAUGGCAUGAAUGAUGAAUUUGCCUAGGCCCCCAGUCCUCGUACAAGAUUUGGUUUUGCUUGAGAAUGGAGAUCUAAGACACAAAUAAAGGGAGCAUGUGAGUAAUCUAUAUCAUGUUUGUUCUGCAAAGUAGAUAGCCAACAAAAGGAAAAAAAAGAAAGAAAGAGGGAAUGUUCUUAUCUCUUUCUUUUCUCUAGUUUAUUGCUUCUGAUUGGAGGUAUUGGUGAAGAUAGUGGCCUAAUCCCCAGCAUAGUUGCCAAUUUAUGUAGGGGUCUUUUUAUUCCAACAGCCUGACGAAUGAGCUUAGGCUGCCGAAAAAGAGAAACAGGUGAAGCUGCCCCUGUGUCUGAG